AGACCCGAAACCCGGUGAUCUAGCCAUGGGCAGGUUGAAGGUUGGGUAACACUAACUGGAGGACCGAACCGACUAAUGUUGAAAAAUUAGCGGAUGACCUGUGGCUGGGGGUGAAAGGCCAAUCAAACCGGGAGAUAGCUGGUUCUCCCCGAAAGCUAUUUAGGUAGCGCCUCGUGAAUUCAUCUCCGGGGGUAGAGCACUGUUUCGGCUAGGGGGCCAUCCCGGCUUACCAACCCGAUGCAAACUGCGAAUACCGGAGAAUGUUAUCACGGGAGACACACGGCGGGUGCUAACGUCCGUCGUGAAGAGGGAAACAACCCAGACCGCCAGCUAAGGUCCCAAAGUCAUGGUUAAGUGGGAAACGAUGUGGGAAGGCCCAGACAGCCAGGAUGUUGGCUUAGAAGCAGCCAUCAUUUAAAGAAAGCGUAAUAGCUCACUGGUCGAGUCGGCCUGCGCGGAAGAUGUAACGGGGCUAAACCAUGCACCGAAGCUGCGGCAGCGACACUCAGGUGUUGUUGGGUAGGGGAGCGUUC
rnacentral:rRNA from 4 species